GAGAACUGUAAACACCAAAGCCAGGCUGCUACAGCUACCAGCUAGGUAAUACAUCUAAAAAUAUCUCCCCUAUCACGGAUGCUAUGGUAGAUCCGAGCUGUGGCCAAAGAAACCUCACAGAAGUCAGCUGAACCUGGGGUGUUCUGAGUGGUGCUGCAUCAAAACAAAACAAAAAGUGGGUCUAAGACCCCCUACCACUUCUUAGGCUGGGAGGAGGGGACUCAAGGGUUAACUUUAAGUGAUUCUCAAAAUCUUUCUGGUUGCAGCCUCCCAAUAUUAUUCCAUUUCAGUAUGAGCUCUUUUUUUUUCCCUUUAAUCAUUUUCCUUUAAAACAGGAGACAGAACUCUUCUCUAAGAAAGUUACAAUGUUGUCAACCUUUUAGUGUUGCUUAAAGAAAAAAUAUAAGAAAAGUUUACUCUAUAAACACAAGACCCAGGAAGAUUUCAAAAAUACAAAAGAGAACAUAGAUCCAUGACUUUCAUUGGCAUUUUUCCUUUUUUUAAGGAAAGUGCUGAUUUUAUAAAUGGCUUCUCAGGUGAGAAACGUUGUCACUGCCCUGGGCCAGCCUGUCCCAGCUCGGUGGCUACAAGGCCACGGGAAAGGCCGAAGGCGACCUCAGCACCUCCCCCUCCCCAAGCCGCCUCUCAGGCACAGACUUCCCUCCAACAACAACUCAGGAAGCAGGCGGCCAGCGGCACAGGGGUGCCUGAGGACGUCCAUUGUGGCUGACUGUCUACCAGACCCUGCGGACUCCUGUGGACCACAGACCUCCGGCUCAGGAACCUUUGAGCUACCAGUCUCAGCACAGAAAAUUAACAGGAGAAAACAAUAGGGUUGCAGCACGAGCCCAUGCAGGACAGAACACGGAGUCUCCACCACGUCCCCAGAAUUAUCCUAACGAGCACCACGUACCUCACAACACGACCACACGGCUCACCCGCAAGUGACAGCCAGUUCAGAGCACAGAGGAGGAAGCCCUGUCCCCACGCUGGAGGAGAGGAGGAACACGCGUGCCCCCAGAGACAGCCCAGCUUGCUUUGUCUUCGGCGAACACUGAUCUCAUAACCCACAGUCCAGGGAAUAAAAAACGAAAGACACCCACCAACCGCCGGGGAAAAUCAGCGGCUCCUGGAAGACGGCAGGGAAGGCUUCUCCCUCUGCUCAGUGUGCAGUGGCUCAGGGAAAAAAAAUGUCGCCCGGGCAGGGACGACAAAUGCAGCAGGACGGCUGGAGGCCUGAGGGGUCCGCUUCACUUCCACGUCCCCCACGCAGCCCCACUCAUCCUCUCCCAUGCUUUCUCUGCACUUUUUUUUUUCACUAGCUCCAAAUCCCCGGCAUAUGACCUUCUGUUAAAUAGAUAAAAAAAAAAAUUGCUUAUCAGUCAUGCAAAUGAGGCUGAAUUCAUUUUCCACAACAGAUGGCCUCAUAGAUAAUGAUGAUGGAAGAGAGAAAAUUGAAUGUCUCUCACAAGGUGGCCAUGGCAACCGAGAGCAGAAUAAUAUCAAUAAUAAGCUCACUGCAUAAUAAGGUUGUCAGUCCUACAAAUCAAAGUCUCCAGCUAAAUCAGGUACACCACCCCAGCUAGUCACCAGGUAAAUUACACACACACACACACACACACACACACACACACACGUAUGUCUGUGUGCAUGUGGGUGUGUGUGUUUUACAGUGACCGUGAAGAAGACCAGAAUUCCAACCACUCGGUGGAAGUGCGUAUGUGGCAGGGGGAGGGGGUAGUUGGAUAAUGAAAUGACAAUGUGACUUUCUUUCUUUUCUUUUUCUUUCAUUAUGUCUUUUGCACUGGAGUGGGUUUCCUGAGGGAUCUUCUAACUAGCCAUAUUGAAAUUUGGAAUGGGCGUGGGGAAGGCUCCUCUCCUUCCACCGCCUCCUCCCCGCUCUCCUCUGAUGUGGUGCACUGCAUGGAUGUGAGAGCAGCUCGCCCGCCCGCCCGAGGCUUCCACCUUGGCUCCCAGGGGGACAUCCUGCAAAAUGAAUCAGCAGCCAUCCUGAGCAGGCUGAUUAAAAUGAAAAUGGCAAGGCACACGUCUGGGCGGGACUGGAGCUCAGCGUUGCUGCCUGUCUGGCAAGCAUGCUCGAUAUAGCUCUUGCUAAUAAUGGCUUGCUGCCUCGCCUGUUUUUAAAAAGCCCCGCUGCUGCAGUGUGAAUCAGAAAUCAAUAGAGCUGCCCUAAUGGAGACUCCACUCAGCUCACAGCGACCAGCUGCAGCCUCCCGCUCCCUCUCACAGAACUGAUGACGUCCACACAGCUUUUUCAGCUGAUUGGGCACCACAUCGGAUGUUCUGUGAAGCAAAGAAUAGGAAUCAUUUAUAGUCGGUGGGAAAAAAAAUGGGAGCAUGUAUUCUCCCGUGUCUACGACACUGCUGCUCAGCUCCUGCACUACAGCCACACCAGUGAGUGCUCCAGGUCGCAUGGUCACCGUGGAGUCAGGAGGACUCCAGAAAUGACCGCAGGACUGCAGCUGCAGAACAAUGGGGAUGCGCUUCCAUCUUGGGAAGGACAAAGCAUUCCUCUAAGAGUAUGCCAAUCAAAUCCCCACCAAGGUGCCAGUGGCCAGGUCAAACAGGGGCCCUGCACACCGCAUCAGGCUUCAACAUAGCUGGGUACUUGAAGGCAUCUCCAAAUGUGCUUCAAAAAUAAAAGCUACAAUCAUAAGGACUCUCAAAGCCCAAAUGCACAUCUUCACCCUCUGUCAGCCCCCAGGAGUCUGCUUGGGUCAUGUGAGAAUUAGAUUCAGCUUUCUUGUUAGUUUCCCCAAAGCUUGUUUCCACUAAGAGGGACAUUUCUAAAUAAUACUAAGCCAUGAUAUUUAAAAUCACAGAGGUGCGUAUACAUGAAAGUAUCUUUCUCACACGCAUGUGCAUGUCUGUGGAAAUACAGUGUCAGAUCAGGGCCCUGCACACUUGUGUGCAUGUGUGAGUGUGCAAGGUGCUUCAACAGGUCUGGUCUCCUGAAGCCGUGGGGGACUUCCGCAGCUCACAGGCCUCUGAGGUUGUACCCUCAGGGUGAGGUGUCCCUGGUCUUCGGGGCAACAAAGGAGCCUCUCCCCUCGCCCCACACCCCCUGCCUUCAGCCUGUCCCUGACAGCACCUGCCUGGCCUGACUCGCUCCAUGAGGCCUUCCUGCUCCUCCCAACGCCCCCCCACUGUCAGAGUGGAGACGCAGCCUCCGAGGGCAGGAGAGAAAGGAACAGAGGAAGAAUCAUGAAGCACAGAGCACUGCAGAGCCACGUUUCAGCCUGUUUUAUGGUUACAUGGUACCUGCACUUGAAGAAUUACGAUUUCUAAAAAAAUAGAAUCAACUGCUCUGCUGCAGGGUACCGUAAAGCCCUGCAAGAUGAAUGAGGACCUAUAGUUUGCAAUUAAACCAGGUGAUGGAACAAUCUGCAUCAAAUAUCAAUCAAACUCUUCCUUAAAUUGUUAUGAGUCUACUUCUUGCUGCACUCAACUUAGGAGUUCAUUGCACAGAUUAAAUCCUUUCUUUGUCAGAAAAAGCA